CACAUUUCCAUCUCACAGGUGGUCAUUGCAUUGUCUGUCAGGUUUUUCACUGUGGACUCCCACUCCUGAAACUCUUACUUCCUUGUGAAGCUGUUUAUAAAGUCCUGAAGGAAGCCAGGUGUCAAACACUGUACUCCAUGAAACAGCAGUUUUUUCUCUCUAAAGGAGAAAGUACUUUUCAGUUUAAAGCCUCCACUGUGAUGAGAGGCAGAUUUAAAAAUGCAUCUCCUUUGUGACCUAACCUGUUCCCAUUUCAGAUUCUUUACCAGAGAGUGAAUUCCCAAAUCCACGUGGAAGGAGGAGAGGGUGUCAGUGUCUCGGCAGUGGUUGGCAGAGCCCCUCAUGAGGCUGAGCCAGACAGUCCAGGCAGCGGCUCGGCUGACUUGUUGCGCUGGACCACUGCCACCACCAUGAAAGUCCUGUCCAACACCACGACGACCACCAGGGCCAUGCUGCAGGCCAUCAGCAACAGGCAGUGGUGGAAGAGGUCUCUGACUUACCUCCGGCCCCUCCAGGGGCAAGAAUUCGGUGGCUCUUACUCAGCUGGAACUGUAGUCAAUGAAGACCUAGGAAAGCAAGGAUGUCAUCCUUUUUAUGAAUCAGUCAUGGCGAAUCCCUUUGUUGCUGAGUCUGGCAUGCCCUUCGACACCUGUCAGCAGCCCCCUGUGGAGAGCUUUGCCGAGGUGCUGCUGAGGACUGGGAAACUGGCAGAGGCCGAGACAGAUGGGAAUGAAGGGUUUCCGACCACAGAAGUUCUCCUGCAGCUGGCGAGUGAUGCUUUGCCCAGUGACAUGACCUUGGCCCUCGCUUACCUCCUCGCCUUACCACAGGUGUUAGAUGCGAACAGGUACUUUGAGACGCAGGCACACUCAGCCCUGUCCCUCCAGCUGGCAGUGUACUACUACAGCCUCCAGAUCUACGCCCACCUGGUGCCCGGCUUCAGUGACAAGUGCCACCCUCUAUACAGAAAUGCUAGAGGAGACCGUGUAUAGCCUUGUGCUCUUCCUGGCUCAGCGCUGCGGCAUCUCCUGCUGGGAAGUGUUCAUGACCCACCUGGAGUUUCUGUUCACCGAUAGCGGGUGAGUACCUGCGGCCAUGCCCUGCUGUUGGGAAGAAUCUGGAAGUACUCGUCCA
rnacentral:lncRNA from 1 species